GUUCUGUAAGCCUGUGAAGGUGUACUGUGAGGUAUGCUGGAGGUAUCAGAAGUGCGAAUGCUGACAUAAGUAACGAUAAAGCGGGUGAAAAGCCCGCUCGCCGGAAGACCAAGGGUUCCUGUCCAACGUUAAUCGGGGCAGGGUGAGUCGACCCCUAAGGCGAGGCCGAAAGGCGUAGUCGAUGGGAAACAGGUUAAUAUUCCUGUACUUGGUGUUACUGCGAAGGGGGGACGGAGAAGGCUAUGUUGGCCGGGCGACGGUUGUCCCGGUUUAAGCGUGUAGGCUGGUUUUCCAGGCAAAUCCGGAAAAUCAAGGCUGAGGCGUGAUGACGAGGCACUACGGUGCUGAAGCAACAAAUGCCCUGCUUCCAGGAAAAGCCUCUAAGCAUCAGGUAACAUCAAAUCGUACCCCAAACCGACACAGGUGGUCAGGUAGAGAAUACCAAGGCGCUUGAGAGAACUCGGGUGAAGGAACUAGGCAAAAUGGUGCCGUAACUUCGGGAGAAGGCACGCUGAUAUGUAGGUGAAGUCCCUCGCGGAUGGAGCUGAAAUCAGUCGAAGAUACCAGCUGGCUGCAACUGUUUAUUAAAAACACAGCACUGUGCAAACACGAAAGUGGACGUAUACGGUGUGACGCCUGCCCGGUGCCGGAAGGUUAAUUGAUGGGGUCAGCGCAAGCGAAGCUCUUGAUCGAAGCCCCGGUAAACGGCGGCCGUAACUAUAACGGUCCUAAGGUAGCGAAAUUCCUUGUCGGGUAAGUUCCGACCUGCACGAAUGGCGUAAUGAUGGCCAGGCUGUCUCCACCCGAGACUCAGUGAAAUUGAACUCGCUGUGAAGAUGCAGUGUACCCGCGGCAAGACGGAAAGACCCCGUGAACCUUUACUAUAGCUUGACACUGAACAUUGAGCCUUGAUGUGUAGGAUAGGUGGGAGGCUUUGAAGUGUGGACGCCAGUCUGCAUGGAGCCGACCUUGAAAUACCACCCUUUAAUGUUUGAUGUUCUAACGUGGACCCGUGAUCCGGGUUGCGGACAGUGUCUGGUGGGUAGUUUGACUGGGGCGGUCUCCUCCUAAAGAGUAACGGAGGAGCACGAAGGUUGGCUAAUCCUGGUCGGACAUCAGGAGGUUAGUGCAAUGGCAUAAGCCAGCUUGACUGCGAGCGUGACGGCGCGAGCAGGUGCGAAAGCAGGUCAUAGUGAUCCGGUGGUUCUGAAUGGAAGGGCCAUCGCUCAACGGAUAAAAGGUACUCCGGGGAUAACAGGCUGAUACCGCCCAAGAGUUCAUAUCGACGGCGGUGUUUGGCACCUCGAUGUCGGCUCAUCACAUCCUGGGGCUGAAGUAGGUCCCAAGGGUAUGGCUGUUCGCCAUUUAAAGUGGUACGCGAGCUGGGUUUAGAACGUCGUGAGACAGUUCGGUCCCUA
rnacentral:rRNA from 1 species